CAGUAGCCGCGGUAAUACGUAGGUGGCAAGCGUUGUCCGGAAUUAUUGGGCGUAAAGGGCUCGCAGGCGGUUUCUUAAGUCUGAUGUGAAAGCCCCCGGCUCAACCGGGGAGGGUCAUUGGAAACUGGGAAACUUGAGUGCAGAAGAGGAGAGUGGAAUUCCACGUGUAGCGGUGAAAUGCGUAGAGAUGUGGAGGAACACCAGUGGCGAAGGCGACUCUCUGGUCUGUAACUGACGCUGAGGAGCGAAAGCGUGGGGAGCGAACAGGAUUAGAUACCCGCGUAGUCCCUGUCUCUUAUAA
rnacentral:rRNA from 1 species